rnacentral:rRNA from 1 species
GACGAACGCUGGCGGCGUGCUUAACACAUGCAAGUCGAACGGAAAGGCCCUGCUUUUGUGGGGUGCUCGAUUGGCGAACGGGUGAGUAACACGUGAGUAACCUGCCCUUGACUUUGGGAUAACUUCAGGAAACUGGGGCUAAUACCGGAUAUGAGCUCCUGCUGCAUGGUGGGGGAUGGAAAAUUUCGGCGGUUGGGGAUGGUAUCGCGGCUUAUCAGCUUGUUGGUGGGGUAGUGGCUUACCAAGGCUUUGAAGGGUAGGCGGCCUGAGAGGGUGAACGGCCACAUUGGGACUGAGAUACGGCGCAGACUCCUACGGGAGGCAGCAGUGGGGAAUAUUGCACAAUGGGCGGAAGCCUGAUGCAGCAACGCCGCGUGCGGGAUGACGGCCUUCGGGUUGUAAACCGAUUUCGCCUGUGACGAAGAGUGAGUGACGGUAAUGGGUAAAGAAGCACCGGCUAACUACGUG